UUUUACAAUGGAGAGUUUGAUCCUGGCUCAGGAUGAACGCUAGCUACAGGCUUAACACAUGCAAGUCGAGGGGAAACGACAUCGAAAGCUUGCUUUUGAUGGGCGUCGACCGGCGCACGGGUGAGUAACGCGUAUCCAACCU
rnacentral:rRNA from 1 species